rnacentral:snoRNA from 17 species
AGCUCAGUGAUUGUAGUCACUUUUGUUGGUAAUAUACGCUAUGCUGACCAUAGUUUGAUGAUGAAUGAGAAUAUGAGAGCU